rnacentral:rRNA from 1 species
UUGGCGACCGGCGCACGGGUGCGUAACGCGUAUGUAACCUACCUAUAACAGGGGCAUAACACUGAGAAAUUGGUACUAAUUCCCCAUAAUAUUCGGAGAGGCAUCUCUCCGGGUUGAAAACUCCGGUGGUUAUAGAUGGACAUGCGUUGUAUUAGCUAGUUGGUGAGGUAACGGCUCACCAAGACCGCGAUCGGUAGCCGGACUGAGAGGUUGAACGGCCACAUUGGGGCUGGGACACGGCCCAAACUCCUACGGGAGGCAGCAUG